ensembl:lncRNA
AUAUUCUCUGUAGCAGUGUUUAAAAGCAUGCUGUGUGAUUAUUAAAAUAAUCCAACUUAAAAGCUUGCACUGAAGAAGAGGAGAUUGGAUCAAAGUGCAAAUGUCAUUCUAUGGUGAAAGUCUUGCGCUGUGGUGGUGCAAAGUCACUCAGAGAAACAACUGCAAAGUUGACCCAGACAGUAAAGCUAGUUCCCUGGUUACGAGCCCGACACGGAACCCAAAGUGUUAGCCAGAGGUCUCCUUACCACGGAGCCGCGGACCUGGCCGAGAUCUGAAGGAUGAAGUGUUUGCACUGCUGGGUGGUGUGUGGCUUAACUUUAGGCCUUGUGUGUGUUUCGUUGUGGAUCUGCAAAAAGUCAACAGCCAGUUACAAAAAGUCAACAAACAAAAGAAAAGUAAAAGAAAAGAAGACCAAGCUGCAGAAACAAGCAGAGAGGACACAAGAAGAGCUGACUGUAUUAUCAGAGCUUAUCACGCUGAUGCUGGAACUGAAGAGGGGAUAUCGCCAGCAGAAAGAAGAAUUCAAACUGUUAGAGGAGAUAAACAAAGAGCUGGUAGAAAACAAGAAGAAACUUUGUCUGGUAGAGAAUGAAAUAGCAAAGAGUGAGAAAGAAAAACAGACGGACAAAACAGAAAGAUACUUGGAGGAAAAACAAAGUCUAUUGAGUGUUCAGCGUAAACUGGAGAAGAAAAAGGAAGAACUAGAGAAUCUACAACUGAACAUGGAGAAACAGCUGCUUCAAACAGAGGAUAUAAUGAGCACGAUGACAGAAAGAAGGACAAAAUUAGAAAACAAUUAUGAGGUGAUCAACUUGCAGCUGGAGGAGGUAGAUUAGUCAGUGAUUAGUAGUGAGAUGAGUGGUGAGAACAAAUAAAUACAUGAUGUACACUGAUUGAUUAACCUUACUUUCUGACGUGGUAUCUUAAAUAAAACAAUCGUGAGCUGCAAAAAAGAAUAAUCUAAGAAAGAUUGCAAUAUUUUGUUCAAUUUAUGAUAAAUUAUAUUCAUGUUGUUUAAGUAAGAAAGUUUGAAAAGAAAGAAAUUAUCUCAAUUGACUAAACAGAGAGAUGGUGCUGGAAAGGAUGCACAGCAGGUCGAGUAAGAAGUAAUAAUGCGUGAAGAGGGUAUGCUGAGAAAAAGGAAAGAGUACUCUGAGGAGAUGAUGAAUGAAGAAAAUGAGAGGGGAUGAUGGGUGGAGGGAAGUGAAGGGAAGGGAAAUGAAUCAGGCAGUGCAGAGGAUUAGUAAGGAGGAAGUUAGGGCAGCUAUGGAAAGACAGUUGGUCGGGACUGCAUACCUGUGGAGGAGGUCUGGUAAAGAGGCCUGUUGAUUUUUUCACUAGUUUUUGUUAACAGUCUUGGAGAGUGACAGGAACCAUGAGGAAUGGAGAAUUGUACUGGAUGAUGUGCAGAGCUGUGGAAAUUAAAAACAGUUAAACUUGAUUAAGAAUAUUUUGUUAAUAGAAAACAGAAAAAAGAACUGCUCAAGCAAGGAAGAAAGCUGAAAUGAACAAAUGUUUAUUUAAAUGAACACAUAAUCAAGAAAAAUGCAGACACCGCAAAACAAGCAAGAACAUUAAGAAAACAGAAGAAAAUACAGUCAACUUGGAUGUCAGAUUGUAAGAUAUUCAUUAAACUAAAUAGAACACCAGAGCAGGGAAAAGUUCUAGUCAUCAAAGAGAUGACGGAACUAGAAACAUAAAACUGAUAAAUCAGAACGCAAAGCAGUGCUAAAUAUGAUGGUACUUGUCUAAGUUGCACAACCAACUCAGAUGUCUGACAGUUUUCAUGUAACAACUCAUAUAUAUAUUGACAAUAGGACA